rnacentral:rRNA from 1 species
UACGUAGGGAGCAAGCGUUGUCCGGAAUCAUUGGGCGUAAAGCGCGCGUAGGCGGCCCGAUAAGUCCGCUGUAAAAGUCAACGGCUACAACUGUUGAAAGCCGGUGGAUACUGUCGGGCUAGAGUACGGAAGAGGCAAGUGGAAUUCCUGGUGUAGCGGUGGAAUGCGCAGAGUAUCAGGAGGAACACCGGUGGCGAAGGCGGUGGUCUGGGCCGGCACUGACGCUGAGGAGCGAAAGCGUGGGUAGCAAACAGG